GAUGAACGCUGGCGGCGUGCCUAAUACAUGCAAGUCGAGCGAACGGACGAGAAGCUUGCUUCUCUGAUGUUAGCGGCGGACGGGUGAGUAACACGUGGAUAACCUACCUAUAAGACUGGGAUAACUUCGGGAAACCGGAGCUAAUACCGGAUAAUAUUUUGAACCGCAUGGUUCAAAAGUGAAAGACGGUCUUGCUGUCACUUAUAGAUGGAUCCGCGCUGCAUUAGCUAGUUGGUAAGGUAACGGCUUACCAAGGCAACGAUGCAUAGCCGACCUGAGAGGGUGAUCGGCCACAUUGGAACUGAGACACGGUCCAGACUCCUACGGGAGGCAGCAGUAGGGAAUCUUCCGCAAUGGGCGAAAGCCUGACGGAGCAACGCCGCGUGAGUGAUGAAGGUCUUCGGAUCGUAAAACUCUGUUAUUAGGGAAGAACAUAUGUGUAAGUAACUGUGCACAUCUUGACGGUACCUAAUCAGAAAGCCACGGCUAACUACGUG
rnacentral:rRNA from 1 species